rnacentral:lncRNA from 10 species
CUGGCCUUCAGACAGAAGCUGCUCAGACCUCAAGGCUGGGGCUGGAGGAGGCAGACCCCAAGGAGAGCAGCAAGGAAGAUUAGAAAGGCAAAUUCCCUCCAAGGACCAGCCCAAGAAAAAGGCAAAGAGGAAGGAAAGGCUGUGAAGGAGAAGAGCAAAUGCAAGAACAAGGACGAGGAGGGCAAGGAAAAGUGGAGGAGGAGGAGGGGAAGCAGGAGAAGGAGUGGGAGGAGGAGAGAGAGGGGAAGCAGGAGGAGGGACGGGGGAAGGAGGAGGAGGGGGAGGAAGAGGAGACGGAGGAAGGGAAGGGGGAGGAGGAAGAGGGAGGAGGAUGAGGGAGGAGGAGGAGGGGAGGAGGAGCAGGAGGAGGAGGGGGAGGGGGAGGAGGAGAAGAUCAGAAGGAGGAGGAGUGAGAGGAAGAGGAGGAGGGGGAGGGCAAGAAGGAAAUGAGAAUGAGGAGGAGGAGGGUGAGGAGAAGAAGGAGGAGCACAAGGAGGAGGAGGAGGUAGA